CAUUAAAAUCGUUAACCGUUCUCCAACAUUUUAGAGUAGAACUCUGAGUACAGCCAUGCCAGCAAAUAAGAAAUAAGCAAAACAAGUGCCAAUUUUUACAUUGCGUGCAAGCAUCUCCACCACUCUGCCCACCUCUCAACAUUGGCCUCUUAUCCAGAACAGGAUUAACAGUAAGGUGACCUUCGACGGCCACCAAGUUAGACAGGACCCCAGAACCAUAAAUUUGCUUGGCCUAAUUUACCAUCCAUUUGUGAAUAAUGAAGGAGACUUCCA